UGAACGCUGGCGGUAGGCCUAACACAUGCAAGUCGAACGGCAGCACAGUAAGAGCUUGCUCUUACGGGUGGCGAGUGGCGGACGGGUGAGGAAUACAUCGGAAUCUACUUUUUCGUGGGGGAUAACGUAGGGAAACUUACGCUAAUACCGCAUACGACCUACGGGUGAAAGCAGGGGAUCUUCGGACCUUGCGCGAUUGAAUGAGCCGAUGUCGGAUUAGCUAGUUGGCGGGGUAAAGGCCCACCAAGGCGACGAUCCGUAGCUGGUCUGAGAGGAUGAUCAGCCACACUGGAACUGAGACACGGUCCAGACUCCUACGGGAGGCAGCAGUGGGGAAUAUUGGACAAUGGGCGCAAGCCUGAUCCAGCCAUACCGCGUGGGUGAAGAAGGCCUUCGGGUUGUAAAGCCCUUUUGUUGGGAAAGAAAAGCAGCAGGUUAAUACCUCGCUGUUCUGACGGUACCCAAAGAAUAAGCACCGGCUAACUUCGUG
rnacentral:rRNA from 1 species